ACAUAAUUAACUCAAAUAUAUCGUAUUAAAUAUUUAUAUUCUCCUAGUUAACGUGAAUAUAUAUAUCGCAUUAAAUAUUUAGGUCCUAGUAGUUAAUUCAAAUAUAUAUCCUAUUAAUGAUUUAGAUUGAUACACCCUAUACUUAUAAAUAAGCAUUAAUUGACGCCAACCAAAAACUGCAUUUUAGAACUAGUAUAUAUAGAUGAUAUCAGCGACGUUAAUCUCACAUUCUGAACAUAGAGUACUAUCCCACCAAAACCAUUCGAUCGAAGCCAUUUCAAGAUCAGCUACAGUACCAGAAUCAAGAUGGCAGCAAAAUUUUCUUCAGUCAUCUGCAAGGUCCUCCUCAUAGUUGUCACCAUGGUUGCCCUUCUCUUCUCCUCUGGUUUAGCCGAUGACGGUCCUGGGUACGAGUAUUGCUUCCUAAAGUGCAUCGACGAAUGCAACCAAACCUGUAAGUCGAGUGGUUACACCCAUGGAGGCGACUGCAACACUGGACCCUGUUGCUGCCUUUGGUAGUAGUGUAGUAGUGCUCAUGAAAAAUCAAUGGAUUAAUGGAAUAUGUUUCAUUACUUCCAUUCAUGUAAACAUGAUUACUGCUUGAUGUGAUGGCUAUUGGUGAACUGAAAUAAAAUGCGAAUGUUUUUAGUUGA